rnacentral:rRNA from 1 species
UUGACCUCAAAUCAGGUAGGACUACCCGCUGAACUUAAGCAUAUCAAUAAGCGGAGGAAAAGAAACUAACAAGGAUUCCCCUAGUAACUGCGAGUGAAGCGGGAAAAGCUCAAAUUUGAAAUCUGGCAGUCUUUGAUUGUCCGAGUUGUAAUCUAGAGAAGUUGUUACCUGUGCAGGACCGUGUACAAGUCUCCUGGAAUGGGGCAUCAUAGAGGGUGAGAAUCCCGUCUUUGACAUGGACUACCUGUAUGUUGUGGUGCGCUCUCAAAGAGUCGAGUUGUUUGGGAAUGCAGCUCAAAAUGGGUGGUAAAUGCCAUCUAAAGCUAAAUAUUGGCGAGAGACCGAUAGCGAACAAGUACCGUGAGGGAAAGAUGAAAAGCACUUUGGAAAGAGAGUUAAACAGUACGUGAAAUUGCUGAAAGGGAAACGCUUGAAGUCAGUCACAUUGGCCAGAAAUCAGCCUUGCUUUUGUGAGGUGUACUUUCUGUUUGAUGGGUCAGCAUCAAUUUUGAUCGCUGGAUAAAGUCUCUGGGAAUGUGGCAUCUUCGGAUGUGUUAUAGCCCAUUGUCGUAUGC